CUGACACUACUGAUAUGCUAUGCUUAC
rnacentral:piRNA from 1 species